GUUUACUCUUCUCACGUCUUUGAAACUUUCCAUGUUCAGUGUUUGCCUUUGCAUAAUUCUAUUUUUUGACAGGGGUAAAUAAUCGGGCUGGGCUGCAGGGGGCGUGGCCGCUGUUAUACGACCCUACGCCAGAGUGUGUACAGCUUAACACCGUGGCCCACCAAAAUUAACCACCCAAAUAUUUACCCAUGUCAGCGAUAAGAAUUACGAUUCUGACUGGGAUCUUUUGCACGACUGAUACGGCAGAUCUUUCGCAUCGCAGCUUCUCCAGACUCGCACGACUGGACGCUGAAGUUAGAGUUUAUCUUCCGGCUAUAUGUAUUUAGAUCGCCUGGUUUUGUCGCCUGUCUCAUCGCAGUUUUCAGGAGGAUUGUGGCCACUCCGUUACGAUGGUUAAACUAAGGUCUUUUACAACAAAAUUUAACAAAGAGAUGUAAUCUUCUGUAAAUAAACUCACACUCGGUUACCUU
rnacentral:lncRNA from 1 species